rnacentral:rRNA from 1 species
UACGAAGGGGGCGAGCGUUGUUCGGAGUUACUGGGCGUAAAGGGCGCGCAGGCGGUUAUCCAAGUCAGGUGUGAAAGCCCCGGGCUCAACCCGGGAAAUGCACUUGGGACUGGAUUGACUUGAGUACGGGAGAGGAUGAUGGAAUUCCCAGUGUAGAGGUGAAAUUCGCAGAGAUUGGGAAGAACACCGGUGGCGAAGGCGGUCAUCUGGCCCGUAACUGACGCUGAGGCGCGAAAGCGUGGGGAGCAAACAGG